AACCCCUGUCAAUGGACAAAGAGACACCUUAUUGGUGAUGCCAUUCUUACAUCAGUCAGGGGUAGAGCAGAUGAUAGUCCUAUGUUCAUCCUGGCCCGAUGCCUGGCUUGGUGACCAAAGCUGUUUUAUGUCUAGGACUCAUCA
ensembl:snoRNA Gm26036 predicted gene, 26036